GCGGGAUUAGCAUAUCGGUAGUGCGCGGGCUUCCCAAGCCUGAAAGGCGGGUUCGACUCCCGUAUCCCGCU
rfam:Prevotella sp. CAG:924 genomic scaffold, scf21